rfam:Xenopus laevis strain J chromosome 5S, whole genome shotgun sequence.
CCAACGUGGAUAUCUCAUGAGGUUACUCUUGUGGGCUCUAUCCAGGUGGCGUAUGGGAGCGUCACCCCUUUGAGGCGCAGUGACGUAUAAUCCCCUUCCACAACGUUGGAGAACAAACAUGUCCCCGGCCGUUUGGUUGGUGUGGGCAGAAUCCUGUAUAUUCCUACAACUUCCCUGAGCCCUCGGGCAGUGACUGGGGAGACAAACCAUGCAGGAUACAAAG